UAAUGAAUUAUUUUGUAGUGAAGUUAUUUUCCUACUGAUUUUGCCUUCCCUCAGUCUUGGUUGUCUUUGAGAGCAUAAUGACAAUGAAGUGUAAGGUGAUUGGUAUAUGUUUGUUAAUUGCCAUUUGGUCCCUUGUAAGUUAUAAGUGACCUGUAUAAACCUCAUAUUCUAUCAGUUGAUGGUGAUGGUGUACUGCAUCUGGUGCAGCCUCCUGUUGAGCCAGACCAACAUGCAGUUAGUGAUGAUGGAAAUGCAGAGGAAGAGGGUCCAGCCACUUCUCCAACAAACCUUUCCUCAGUAAGAUGUUCAGCACUGAUUUACAACCAACCUAAGUAGGCAUGUACUAUGAAUGUCAAUGCUAUUUUCUGUGUUUCAAUAGCUCCCUGUAAAGCAGCUGUACAAGACCUAUUUGAUCAAGAAAAUAAAAAAAUGCGACUUGGAAAUGGAACACUUCAAGCAGCAGAUCCAAAAGACCAAGAUUGAGAUUUUACUGCUGGAACAUCAGUUAAGGGUGGGUGAAGUGGUCAGAGAUGGACGAAUUAUUUCAGUGUUUGAACAACAUACUAAUAUACUUAUUAAUACUUCGUGUACAGGAAAUACAGGCAACCAAUAAAGCCAGUUGAACAAAAAAUCUGUUUAUUCUUCUUUCAACAUAUUGAGGUGCUGGGUCAAACGAAAUGAUUGUGACAUAUGGUGUCUCUGACUGCUCUUCCAUCUUGUAUGUCCGUGGGAGGGUCAGGAUGUUCAUGGUUUGGAUCACUGCUGAUGUUUGGUUCAGAAGGACAGUGUUCUCCUCUAAUUGUGGCAAUGUUGUGAAGAAUCACACAUGCCACAAUAAUGUCA